UACGUAGGGCGCAAGCGUUAUCCGGAAUUAUUGGGCGUAAAGAGCUCGUAGGCGGUUUGUCGCGUCUGCCGUGAAAGUCCGGGGCUCAACUCCGGAUCUGCGGUGGGUACGGGCAGACUAGAGUGAUGUAGGGGAGACUGGAAUUCCUGGUGUAGCGGUGAAAUGCGCAGAUAUCAGGAGGAACACCUGCGGCGAAGGCGGGUAGCUGGGCCGACACUGACGCUGAUGCGCGAAAGCCAGGGGAGCGAACGGG
rnacentral:rRNA from 1 species